UCACAUCAAAACAGUGUCUGCUAAUUAU
rnacentral:piRNA from 1 species